rnacentral:lncRNA from 1 species
AAAGUAUCUAUAUUAACUCAAAGGAUGGAGUUAAUAUUACCAAGGAAGAUAAGUGGGAAGUUAAUUGGAGGGGCGUGAAGGACACUAGCUCGAGAUAAAGUCUUAGUGUUGAAGAAGUGAGAUCAAGUCUUAGAGUUGAAGAAGUAAGAAAUGACCUUUGUCAUUUCCGAAGGUCAAGAUAAGAUGAAGAAUAAAUGUUCAAUAUGAAACCUAUUGACGACGAAGAGAAGAGAAAAGAGAAGAAUUAUCCAUUGGAAGGGGUAAUUAGAAGAAGCUAAUGAGAUAUUGGAGUCAAGUAUAGUGAAGAAACAAUAAGAG